CCCGUCCGUCCCGUGGACGCCCUGACCAUCCGCCCACGGUCCCGGCUACCCUGGCCGCGUGCGCAUUCCCCCGCGACGUCCGCCCGGACGUGUGCCGGGGGACGCAAAGCCGACAGCCGUCGCAUCCAAGGGAGCCCCUUCAUG
rnacentral:sRNA from 1 species